rnacentral:lncRNA from 1 species
AGCGAUUGUUUCUUAGACUAGCCCUCAUGGUUAUUAAAUCUAGCACAGAAUAUAUUGUAAAGUUACAUUGCUAAUUUUAUUUUGAAAUAUGAACUAUUUUAAGCUUUUUGUCAAAAGUGGUUAACAUCUUAAUACAAAUAAAAACCUUUUUGUGGUUGUAAGAUUUAGCUUAUGAAUCAUUCAAAUUGAAAGAAUUACCAGGUCAUUGUUAAUGACUUAGUCUAUUAAGAAUCUUAUGUAUUUUUGUAAAGGAAAAGCACUUGUAGAUAUUUAAUCAGUACAAGGUCUAUGUCUGUUUUGCAGGAAGAAAAUGCUGCUUAGAGAUUCUCUUUAAAUAUUUUUUUUAUUUUUGUGCUCCUGUAUUUUCUGUUGAUCUUUUGAAUGUUCUGUACAAAAUUGUCUGACUGUACUGUUGAGCUGGAUACAUUUUUUUUUAACUCUGGGCUUAGCUGUGUAUAUUUGACCAUGUUGGAAAUAGUAUCUUUGUUAUUAAAUUUUUGAUUGUAUAUUU